rnacentral:rRNA from 1 species
GACGAACGCUGGCGGCGUGCUUAACGCAUGCAAGUCGAACGGAAAGGCCUCUUUCGGGGGGUACUCGAGUGGCGAACGGGUGAGUAACACGUGAGUAACCUGCCCUUGACUUUGGGAUAACUUCAGGAAACUGGGGCUAAUACCGGAUAGGAGCUCCUGCUGCAUGGUGGGGGUUGGAAAGUUUCGGCGGUUGGGGAUGGACUCGCGGCUUAUCAGCUUGUUGGUGGGGUAGUGGCUUACCGAGGCUUUGACGGGUAGCCGGCCUGAGAGGGUGACCGGCCACAUUGGGACUGAGAUACGGCCCAGACUCCUACGGGAGGCAGCAGUGGGGAAUAUUGCACAAUGGGUGGAAGCCUGAUGCAGCAACGCCGUGUGCGGGAUGACGGCCUUCGGGUUGUAAACCGCUUUCGCUCAUGACGAAGCUUUGUGUGACGGUAGUGGGUAAAGAAGCACCGGCUAACUACGUGCCAGCAGCCGCGGUGAUACGUAGGGUGCGAGCGUUGUCCGGAUUUAUUGGGCGUAAAGGGCUCGUAGGUGGUUGAUCGCGUCGGAAGUGUAAUCUUGGGGCUUAACCCUGAGCGUGCUUUUGAUACGGGUUGACUUGAGGAAGGUAGGGGAGAAUGGAAUUCCUGGUGGAGCGGUGGAAUGCGCAGAUACCAGGAGGAACACCGGUGGCGAAGGCGGUUCUCUGGGCCUUUCCUGACGCUGAGGAGCGAAAGCGUGGGGAGCGAACAGGCUUAGAUACCCUGGUAGUCC